UCUUCUCUCUCUAAGUCACACUUAGAGAGAGAAGCUCUCCCUUCUCUCUAAAAAUCCCGCCGGCGAAGGUGGGUGGUGGUGGUGAUUCCGGCGCGGCGGCCGGCCGGUUUCCGGCGGCGGCGCCACCGCGCCGGAAAAUUCAAACUUCUUUUUUUUUUUAAAAUUUUUACAUCAAAAGUUCCGUCACCACCUCCUCUACACAAAUCCGGCGUUAGUUUUAGCGAGAACGGAGCGAUUCGGACUAGAUCUACAUUUUUUCUUUGAAAAUUUUUCACACUUUUUAAAAAAAAAAAACUACGGAUCUAGAUAUCCUUUUCUCUCUAGUGUCCGAAUCCGGCCUCAAAAUUUUCAAAAUCCGAACGUACACGCCUAGAUCUACAAAUACAUAUCCGUAACAAACUUUUUCACACCUUUUUUACACUACAUAUGCGCGCGAAAACGGAGAAAAAGAGGAGAGAAAUGCGUUACCUCUGUCGUGAAACGGAGAAAAAUCUUCGGAAAAACUUCGAAUCCUCCUCUUCUCUUUCGCGCGCGCUAUACCCUCCGUUGGUGUUGUUUUUGCUCGAAAAUCCGGUACGUUUUGGUGUUGAUGUGGUGAUUCGCGGUGGUUUUGAGUGAAUCCGGUUCGGAUUUGUUGAUUUUGUGGUGGUUGGAGCUGAUUCUGAGCAGAUCCGGUUUAGAUCUGUUGAUUUUGGUGAUGAGGUGUUCUUGGUGUUCUUCCUCUUUUUCUGAGUUUUUUUUUCUGUUUUGAUUCUGUUAUGGAUGAGAGAGAGAAAAAGAUUCUGUUUGAGAGUGAUUGUGAUUGAUUCUGAUUUUUCUGACUGAUUGUGAUGGAUCUGACACAUUUACUAUUUAUAGCCUGCCAUGUGUAUCUGAGAACCAAUGAAAAAAUGACAUCUGGACCGUUUUGGACUUAUGGACUAAUCUGCAAAAAAGUUAAUAUGAGGACUAAUCUGCAAAAUAAGAAAAAGGACUAAAAAUGCAAUUUUAAAAAGUAUUGGACUAAAAUGCAAGUUAAAAUAAAAUUGGAUAAAAAUUGGUAAUUUGAAAAAAAACGUAAAGUGAAACAAAAAAUAAAAUCAACAAAAGGACUAAAACGAACCAAUUACCGACAUGAGGUAUUUUAAAAUACCUCCCUGUCGAAAUUUUGACAGGAAAAGACCAAAAUGCCCCUAGGGACUAAA
rnacentral:lncRNA from 1 species